AUUGAACGCUGGCGGCAGGCCUAACACAUGCAAGUCGAACGGUAACAGGAAACAGCUUGCUGUUUCGCUGACGAGUGGCGGACGGGUGAGUAAUGUCUGGGAAACUGCCUGAUGGAGGGGGAUAACUACUGGAAACGGUAGCUAAUACCGCAUAACGUCGCAGGACCAAAGAGGGGGACCUUCGGGCCUCUUGCCAUCGGAUGUGCCCAGAUGGGAUUAGCUAGUAGGUGGGGUAACGGCUCACCUAGGCGACGAUCCCUAGCUGGUCUGAGAGGAUGACCAGCCACACUGGAACUGAGACACGGUCCAGACUCCUACGGGAGGCAGCAGUGGGGAAUAUUGCACAAUGGGCGCAAGCCUGAUGCAGCCAUGCCGCGUGUAUGAAGAAGGCCUUCGGGUUGUAAAGUACUUUCAGCGGGGAGGAAGGGAGUAAAGUUAAUACCUUUACUCAUUGACGUUACCCGCAGAAGAAGCACCGGCUAACUCCGUG
rnacentral:rRNA from 1 species